GCACAAAAGCCAACAGACAAUUAAGGCAAUUGUCAACCAGAAGACCAUCCGCUACAACCCAAUACAAAAACCUAUCAUAUCAAGGUGCUCCAAAUCUGCUAACAACCAAUCAAGGCAAUUGUCUCUGAGGAAAGCAUAACAACCAAUUAAGGCAAUUGUUGACAAAAAGAACACCUGAGAACCUGGUCUGCCAACAGCCAAUUAAGGCAAUUGUCAGCAAGAAGACCACACGCUACAGCCUAAUACAAGAAAA